rnacentral:rRNA from 1 species
UACGUAGGGUGCGAGCGUUAAUCGGAAUUACUGGGCGUAAAGCGUACGUAGGCGGCUUUGUAAGUUAGAGGUGAAAGCCCGGGGCUCAACCCCGGAAUUGCCUUUAAGACUGCAUCGCUUGAACGUCGGAGAGGUGAGUGGAAUUCCGAGUGUAGAGGUGAAAUUCGUAGAUAUUCGGAAGAACACCAGUGGCGAAGGCGGCUCACUGGACGACUGUUGACGCUGAGGUACGAAAGCGUGGGGAGCAAACAGG